AUUUAAUCAAAUGAUUAGUCGUUGCUAUUUCUAAUUAUUUUUAUGUGAGCUAUUUGUUUUUAACAUUGAUGAGAUAUUGGUGUUAAUUAUAUUUCAACCAUCUCCUUUUUGCUGAUCAAUAAUGAUAACCGUAAUAUUUGGGAUACUUUCGUCGGGGUUUGUAUUAUUUGCCGUUUCUCUGCUAAGCCUACGCAGUUGGCUACAGAACAGCAAGAGAAAACUUAAGGGAUCUUUUGCUGACACUGUUAGCAUAGGAAUAUUUCAUCCAUACUGCAACGCUGGAGGCGGUGGGGAAAGAGUAUUAUGGUGCGCAGUAAGAGCUCUCCAGGUAAAUCAAUAAUUUUGUGGGGAAAAUUUUCCAAUACGGAACCCGGCUUUAAAAAAAAACAAAAAUGAGGGGGUUUAGAGCGGCUUUUUGUGAUUGUAAAUCUGAAAACCUCACCCUCCGGAGGCUUAUAGUUUUUAUGAAAAUUGAAUUUUAAGUUGCAAAUUGAACUAAAAUGUCGGUGCUGCCACACAAAAACAAAUGCCAAAAAAAAGCACUGAAACCGAGAAACAAUAAAGCUUAUUUAUUUAUUUAUUUAAACGCCAAUCGGCUUUACACAUAAUAAAAAAGUAAAAUUUUGUACCAAUUUAAAAACGUAAAUAGUUAACAAUAAUUAUCAAUUGCAAAAAUUAUAAAUAAAUGUCGAAUGAGUACAUAUGUAUAACUCAAAGAACUGAUUUUAGAACACGAAUGAGACCAGCGUGAGAACCUCCAAAGAAAUUAACACUUGGUGCAUGUCGGUUGACUAAGCUUGCUAUUCUGUUGUACGGUCCAUAGGCGAUAUAGUUCCGGUUAGAUUGCGUAACAUCGAGCAGUCGUCUCGAUCGAAGAUCAGCUCUAGAGCCGAUGAACCUGAACUGCUCCAGUAUUUCUGGGGAAUCUAUCAACCCAUUUACGACCUUAUAAAAAAAGGAUGGAUCCGCUAUUUGCCUUCUGCUGUAUAAGGUCUUUAUAUUGUACCUGUUGUAUAUAUCACUCGUAUUUACACAGCUUCCGUCUUGGGAGUGAUACAGCAGGAACUUACAAAACUUACGUUGCACUUUUUCGACGUUGUUUAUUUGGAGCUCGGUAAAUGGUGCCCAGACAAUGGAGCAAUAUUCAAGUAUCGGCUGCACGAAGGUAGAAAAUAGUCUGAGGAGUGUUCUAUGGUUCCUGAACUCUUUCCCACUUCUACAUAUGAAUCCAAGCGCACGAUAUGCUCGUGCAGAAAUGUGGUUAAUGUGCUCUGAGAAGGAGAGUCUAUCAUCCACAUACACACCCAGAUCCUUAAUUGAGUUGACUAUUUUCACAGUUUGACCACACAAGGAAUAAUUAGCGCUAACUUUAUUAAGACGUCGAGAGAAACACAUGACAGCACAUAUUUGUAUAUUCAGAUGCAGCUUAUUUGUUGUGCACCAAUUUUCAAUUUCUAAAAUAUCCCUCUCUAUAAUGUCUAUGUCGUGAUUACCGCCUACUGCUCUGAAUAGCUUCAUAUCAUCCGCAUAUAAUAAGAACUCGGAUUUGAGUUUCGUGCCAAUGUCGUUUAUGAAUAUACUGAAAAGGAUAGGGCCCAAGUGAGAUCCUUGAGGUACACCGGAAGUUAUACCAUACUCAUUUGACAGAUGACCGUUGACGCGAACUUGCAUUCGCCUACCCGAUAGAUAUGAGCGGAACCAGUAUAAGGCUUUUGACCGGACACCAUAACUUUUUAAUUUACUUAAGAGAAUUUCGUGAUCCACCAUGUCAAACGCCUUGCUGAAGUCGGUGUAUAAUGAGUGUACGUCUUGGCCGUGGUUAAGUGCAUUGAGAAUGUAGUUGAUGUAGGGGUAGAGAUUCGUGGACGUAGAUCUCCCACCGAAGAAUCCAUGCUGCCUCGAAGUUAUAAUGUGUUUAAAUGGAAAGGUUAUUUGUGGUAGAACGAUCUUCUCCAGCAGUUUAGCAAGUGACGAUUGGAUGCAUAU